UGGGGAAUCUUGGACAAUGGGCGCAAGCCUGAUCCAGCCAUGCCGCGUGAGUGAAGAAGGCCCUAGGGUCGUAAAGCUCUUUCAACUGUGAAGAUAAUGACGGUAGCAGUAGAAGAAACCCCGGCUAACUCCGUGCCAGCAGCCGCGGUAAUACGGAGGGGGUUAGCGUUGUUCGGAAUUACUGGGCGUAAAGCGUACGUAGGCGGAUUAGUCAGUCAGAGGUGAAAUCCCAGGGCUCAACCCUGGAACUGCCUUUGAUACUGCUAGUCUUGAGUUCGAGAGAGGUGAGUGGAAUUCCAAGUGUAGAGGUGAAAUUCGUAGAUAUUUGGAGGAACACCAGUGGCGAAGGCGGCUCACUGGCUCGAUACUGACGCUGAGGUACGAAAGUGUGGGUAGCAAACAGGAUUAGAUACCCCCGUAGUCC
rnacentral:rRNA from 1 species